rnacentral:rRNA from 1 species
UAACGCGUGAGGAACCUGCCUCAAAGAGGGGGACAACNNUUGGAAACGACUGCUAAUACCGCAUAAGCCCACGACCCGGCAUCGGGUAGAGGGAAAAGGAGCAAUCCGCUUUGAGAUGGCCUCGCGUCCGAUUAGCUAGUUGGUGAGGUAAUGGCCCACCAAGGCGACGAUCGGUAGCCGGACUGAGAGGUUGAACGGCCACAUUGGGACUGAGACACGGCCCAGACUCCUACGGGAGGCAGCAGUGGGGAAUAUUGCACAAUGGGGGAAACCCUGAUGCAGCGACGCCGCGUGGAGGAAGAAGGUCUUCGGAUUGUAAACUCCUGUUGUUGAGGAAGAUAAUGACGGUACUCAACAAGGAAGUGACGGCUAACUACGUGCCAGCAGCCGCGGUAAAACGUAGGUCACAAGCGUUGUCCGGAAUUACUGGGUGUAAAGGGAGCGCAGGCGGGAAGACAAGUUGGAAGUGAAAUCCAUGGGCUCAACCCAUGAACUGCUUUCAAAACUGUUUUUCUUGAGUAGUGCAGAGGUAGGCGGAAUUCCCGGUGUAGCGGUGGAAUGCGUAGAUAUCGGGAGGAACACCAGUGGCGAAGGCGGCCUACUGGGCACCAACUGACGCUGAGGCUCGAAAGUGUGGGUAGCAAACAGGAUUAGAUACCCUGGUAGUCCACACUGUAAACGAUGAUUACUAGGUG